rnacentral:rRNA from 1 species
AGGAUGAGCGCUGGCGGUAUGCCUAACACAUGCAAGUCGUACGCCUCACUUCGGUGAGGAGUGGCGGACGGGUGAGUAACACGUUGGUACCUGCCCCGAAGUGGGGAAUAAUUCACCGAAAGGUGGACUAAUACCCCAUAGUUUCCGGUUUAUCCGGAAUAAAGAUUUAUCGCUUCGGGAGGGGCCUGCGUUUGAUUAGCUAGUUGGCGGGGUAAAAGCCCACCAAGGCGACGAUCAAUAGCUGGAUCGAGAGGUUGACCAGCCACACUGGGACUGAGAUACGGCCCAGACUCCUACGGGAGGCAGCAGUGAGGAAUCUUCCACAAUGGACGAAAGUCUGAUGGAGCAAUACCGCGUGCAGGAAGACGCUUUUUCGGAGUGUAAACUGCUUUUCUGAAGGAAGAUUAUGACGGUACUUCAGGAAUAAGGAUCGGCUAACUACGUGCCAGCAGCCGC